GCUGGCAGCAUGUGAGAGAAUGAGAGGUGAUGUAGGGGAUAGCUGGCAGCAUGUGAGAGAAUGAGAGGUGAUGUAGGGGAUAGCUGGCAGCAUGUGAGAGAAUGAGAGGUGAUGUAGGGGAUAGCUGGCAGCAUGUGAGAGAAUGAGAGGUGAUGUGGGGGAUAGCUGGCAGCAUGUGAGAGAAUGAGAGGUGAUGUAGGGGAUAGCUGGCAGCAUGUGAGAGAAUGAGAGGUGAUGUGGUGGAUAGCUGGCAGCAUGUGAGAGAAUGAGAGGUGAUGUGGGGGAUAGCUGGCAGCAUGUGAGAGAAUGAGAGGUGAUGUGGGGGAUAGCUGGCAGCAUGUGAGAGAAUGAGAGGUGAUGUGGUGAAUAGCUGGCAGCAUGUGAGAGAAUGAGAGGUGAUGUAGGGGAUAGCUGGCAGCAUGUGAGAGAAUGAGAGGUGAUGUAGGGGAAAGCUGGCAGCAUGUGAGAGAAUGAGAGGUGAUGUAGGGGAUAGCUGGCAGCAUGUGAGAGAAUGAGAGGUGAUGUAGGGGAUAGCUGGCAGCAUGUGAGAGAAUGAGAGGUGAUGUAGGGGAUAGCUGGCAGCAUGUGAGAGAAUGAGAGGUGAUGUAGGGGAUAGCUGGCAGCAUGUGAGAGAAUGAGAGGUGAUGUAGGGGAUAGCUGGCAGCAUGUGAGAGAAUGAGAGGUGAUGUAGGGGAUAGCUGGCAGCAUGUGAGAGAAUGAGAGGUGAUGUGGGGGAUAGCUGGCAGCAUGUGAGAGAAUGAGAGGUGAUGUGGGGAUAGCUGGCAGCAUGUGAGAGAAUGAGAGGUGAUGUGGGGGAUAGCUGGCAGCAUGUGAGAGAAUGAGAGGUGAUGUAGGGGAUAGCUGGCAGCAUGUGAGAGAAUGAGAGGUGAUGUAGGGGAUAGCUGGCAGCAUGUGAGAGAAUGAGAGGUGAUGUGGGGGAUAGCUGGCAGCAUGUGAGAGAAUGAGAGGUGAUGUAGGGGAUAGCUGGCAGCAUGUGAGAGAAUGAGAGGUGAUGUAGGGGAUAGCUGGCAGCAUGUGAGAGAAUGAGAGGUGAUGUAGGGGAUAGCUGGCAGCAUGUGAGAGAAUGAGAGGUGAUGUAGGGGAUAGCUGGCAGCAUGUGAGAGAAUGAGAGGUGAUGUGGGGGAUAGCUGGCAGCAUGUGAGAGAAUGAGAGGUGAUGUGGGGGAUAGCUGGCAGCAUGUGAGAGAAUGAGAGGUGAUGUAGGGGAUAGCUGGCAGCAUGUGAGAGAAUGAGAGGUGAUGUAGGGGAUAGCUGGCAGCAUGUGAGAGAAUGAGAGGUGAUGUAGGGGAUAGCUGGCAGCAUGUGAGA